rnacentral:rRNA from 1 species
GACGUAGACCCGAAACCGGGCGACCUACCCAUGAGCAGGAUGAAGCGAAAGUAAAAUUUCGUGGAGGUCCGAACCCACGGGCGUUGAAAAGCUCGGGGAUGACUUGUGGGUAGCGGUGAAAUUCCAAUCGAGCCCGGAGAUAGCUGGUUCUCCCCGAAAUAGCUUUAGGGCUAGCCUCAAGGUGAGAGAUACGGAGGUAGAGCACUGAAUGUCCUAGGGGGUAUUGCACCUACCGAAGACUAUCAAACUCCGAAUGCCGUCAUCUUAUACUUGGGAGUCAGACUGUGGGUGAUAAGAUUCAUAGUCGAAAGGGCAACAGCCCAGAUCGUCAGCUAAGGUCCCUAAAUGUAAGUUAAGUGGUAAAGGAUGUGGGAUUGCACAGACAACCAGGAUGUUGGCUUAGAAGCAGCCACUCAUUCAAAGAGUGCGUAAUAGCUCACUGGUCGAGUGAUCCUGCGCCGAAGAUUUCCGGGGCUAAAACUUACUACCGAAGCUACGGCAUCAGUAAUGA